rnacentral:tRNA from 1 species
CGGGCCAUAGUGUAGUGGCUAGCACGAGUCCUUUGGGAGGAUUUAGCCCCAGUUCGAAUCUGGGUGGCCCGA